UGAAAUCUGGGUCAUGAUGGCCAUUCAAUAGUCAGGCUUGCUGUGCACGUCCAGAGCUUCAGGACAGCUAUUGGCCUGCAGCCCCUGAGUUUCAGCAGGGACGCAGUAUGAUUUCUAAGCAUUUCCCAUAUUCUGGUCUUCCUGUUGCUCUUGGGAGCCUCUAAGCAGAAGAGUGGAAGGGGGAGCGAUCCAAAGAUGACUUCUAUCCCUAGUCACUUACCCCUACUGACUCACUCAUCUCCUGCUGGGAUUCUAAAGCCAGGAUAAGUGGGUUGCGGAACUGAAGGCUACCAGAGAAAACCAGAAAAUCAACCUGCUACACCAUAACCUCGUAUCUCACUGGACUCUAAGGCAACUGAGUUGGAUCGAAAUAAACCUUUAUUUCCCUUAUAUUUAUUUAUAUUUAUUUAUUUCCCCUUUAUUUGCCAUCACUGCCACCCAUCUUCUCAAAACACACACACACACACACACACACACACACACACACACACGUGUACAUUCAUUGAAGACCAAGGCCCUGACUCAUAUCCUUUUUCUCCAUCUCUAAAUCUGCCAUUACUUCCCUUAGAUC
rnacentral:lncRNA from 1 species